rnacentral:rRNA from 1 species
GGGUUGUGAGGUUAAGCGACUAAGCGUACACGGUGGAUGCCUUGGCAGUCAGAGGCGAUGAAGGACGUGCUAAUCUGCGAUAAGCGUCGGUAAGGUGAUAUGAACCGUUAUAACCGGCGAUUUCCGAAUGGGGAAACCCAGUGUGUUUCGACACACUAUCAUUAACUGAAUCCAUAGGUUAAUGAGGCGAACCGGGGGAACUGAAACAUCUAAGUACCCCGAGGAAAAGAAAUCAACCGAGAUUCCCCCAGUAGCGGCGAGC